rnacentral:lncRNA from 1 species
CUGAACCGAGCCCCGGAACGAGGGAACAGAUUUCUCCCAGGAAGGGUUUUGUGAACUUAACGAUGCUAAUUACGGGGUGCGGGACGCGCUGCUGGAGGAGGAGGAGGGGAGGCACGCUGGGCCAAGCUGGGCCAGCUUGGGGAAAGGCUUAGGCUGCGGGCCUCCCUGGGCGCCUUCCAGAAGCCUCCCUUACGCCUCUCGUCCGGGCUUCACCCUUCCCUGGGAACUUUCCUGUCUGAGUUAACUAUUAACCGUUGGCGAGAGGCAAUUUUCUUCGGAAUUUCAGCGAUUUCCUUUUCGCCGCGGAAGCAGAUUAACAUGCAAACGGGGAGGCGAUCGGCUCGAGUCUGUCUCUCCAAACUGCCCCGACCGCCGGACAGCGGAAAACUACAGCCCCGGCCACCCCACGCCUGCUUGAGCAGGGGCCGUGACCCAGCCAGUACCCGCAGAGAAGGCACGGACACUGAUUGCGCCUUAUGAAGUUCUAACUGGUUUUGUGUCAGGAAGAUCUUUCUCGCUGCUACCCAGCCUGGCGUGACGGAUUAAACAUCAACUAGUUAAAUAAAAAUUAAUAUCAACUGCCUCCUAACUUCUAAUGUCAUGUUGUUUAUAACUAAUGAACUGAUUAGGGGAUAAACACAUCACGGAGACAUUCGGCUUUUCAGCCUCCGCUCCAUCGUCGCCUGUGCCCACUCCAAUGCUUCCAGUUGCCGGCCCAGGAAAGGGGGUGGUGAGGGGGGCGGGCAGGGCAGGACGCCUAGACUGGGAGUCCCAGGGGUUGCCCCUCUCCUGCCUUGAUCUUCCCCCCUCUGUGUUCUCUCUCUCUCUCUCUCUCUCUCUCUCUCUCUCUCUCUCUCUCUCUCUCUCUCCUCCUUCCUUCUCUUUCCCUUCAGUACAUUUCCUUUUCUGUCUCCACCCCAUUUCCUACUUUAUCUCUUUUUCUUGCUUUUCCUUCUCUUCUGUCCUUCCUUCUUUCCGUUCUACUGCAUGUCCAUCCCUGUUCACUCCCCUGCCCUUUGUGUCUGAUGUCUCUCCCUCUCUGCCCCACCCCCAGUCUGAGCGUGACACCCCCCCCCCUUCUAUCAUAGCCCAGCCUCUCUCCUCUCCUUUCUCCUUCUUCCUCCCUGGCCAGCCCAGAGUAGAAUAAUAACCAAAGUCCUUGUAACUGAGCAUGUGCCCUGGAUCAAAGCAAGACAGUCAUCCUCCCCCAAACUUAGAAACACACACACACACACACACACACACACACACACACACACACCUAUUUAAAGGGGGGGGGGAAAGUGUUUUCUCCAUCUUUCCUCUUCCAUCUCAAG